GACGAACGCUGGCGGCGUGCCUAAUACAUGCAAGUUGAGCGAUGAAGCUUGGUGCUUGCACCAAUUUGAAGAGCAGCGAACGGGUGAGUAACGCGUGGGGAAUCUGCCUUUGAGCGGGGGACAACAUUUGGAAACGAAUGCUAAUACCGCAUAACAACUUUAAACAUAAGUUUUAAGUUUGAAAGAUGCAAUUGCAUCACUCAAAGAUGAUCCCGCGUUGUAUUAGCUAGUUGGUGAGGUAAAGGCUCACCAAGGCGAUGAUACAUAGCCGACCUGAGAGGGUGGUCGGCCACAUUGGGACUGAGACACGGCCCAAACUCCUACGGGAGGCAGCAGUAGGGAAUCUUCGGCAAAGGACGAAAGUCUGACCGAGCAACGCCGCGUGAGUGAAGAAGGUUUUCGGAUCGUAAAACUCUGUUGGUAGAGAAGAACGUUGGUGAGAGUGGAAAGCUCAUCAAGUGACGGUAACUACCCAGAAAGGGACGGCUAACUACGUG
rnacentral:rRNA from 1 species